rnacentral:rRNA from 1 species
GAUGAACGCUGGCGGCGUGCCUAAUACAUGCAAGUCGAGCGAACAGACGAGGAGCUUGCUCCUCUGACGUUAGCGGCGGACGGGUGAGUAACACGUGGAUACCCUACCUAUAAGACUGGGAUAACUUCGGGACACCGGAGCUAAUACCGGAUAAUCUAUUGAACCGCAUGGUUCAAUAGUGAAAGACGGUUUUGCUGUCACUUAUAGCUGGAUCCGCGCCGCAUUAGCUAGUUGGUAAGGUAAAGGCUUACCAAGGCAACGAUGCGUAGCCGACCUGAGAGGGGGGUCGGCCACAUGGGAACGGAGACACGGUCCAGACUCCUACGGGAGGCAGCAGUAGGGAAUCGGCCGCAAUGGGCGAAAGCCUGACGGAGCAACGCCGCGUGAGUGAUGAAGGUCUUGGGAUCGUAAAACUCGGUUAUGAGGGAAGAACAAAUGUGUAAGUAACUAUGCACGUCUUGACGGUACCUAAUCAGAAAGCCACGGCUAACUACGUG